UGGGGAAUAUUGCACAAUGGGGGAAACCCUGAUGCAGCGACGCCGCGUGAACGAAGAAGGUAUUCGUAUCGUAAAGUUCUGUCCUAUGGGAAGAUAAUGACAGUACCAUAGAAGACAGCUCCGGCUAAAUACGUGCCAGCAGCCGCGGUAAUACGUAUGGAGCGAGCGUUGUCCGGAAUUAUUGGGCGUAAAGGGUACGCAGGCGGUUUAAUAAGUCGAAUGUUAAAGAUCGGGGCUCAACCCCGCAAAGCAUUGGAAACUGAUAAACUUGAGUAGUGGAGAGGAAAGUGGAAUUCCUAGUGUAGUGGUGAAAUACGUAGAUAUUAGGAGGAACACCAGUAGCGAAGGCGACUUUCUGGACACAAACUGACGCUGAGGUACGAAAGCGUGGGGAGCAAACAGG
rnacentral:rRNA from 1 species